GAGGGUAUAGCUCAGUGGCAGAGCACAUACAUAGCAUGUACAAUGUCCUGGGUUCAAUCCCCAGUACUGCCA
rnacentral:tRNA from 1 species